rnacentral:lncRNA from 1 species
GAGACGAAGGCUUUAUCAUGCAGAUGAAGCCUCCAGGCAGCAGGCUUCAGAGAGAAUAGAUUGUAACUGUUUCCUAUCAGACUGAAAGAGGCUAUUCUAUCAGUAAUUCCAAAAUGAAGGAGGGUAUAAUGAGGUAUGCCCAGCUUCCCUUCCCAUCAUGGCCUGAACUAGUUUUUCAGGUUGACUCUGGAGUGCCCUUGGCCAAGAAGAGGGGUCCAUUCAGAUGGCUGCAGAGGGGCCUUAGAAUUUUAUUUUUGGUUUACACUGCAUGAGAGUGGCAACGAGAGACUGAAAAUAUGAAGGAAAUCCAAAAAAGAUGGAAGAGUGGAAGAGCCAGGGCAAAACGGUGUUCUUCAAAAAAGACAGUGCUCAACCUCAACAGGGUUGCAUUGGAUGAAAGCCUUGAGGAGACAAGUGUCCACUGGACUUAAGGCAAAGGAGGUCACUGACAGCUUCAGCAGGAGGUCUCUCUCCUAGCAAGAAGACAGUGUCUACAAGCCAGAAAGAGAGCUCUUACCAGAACCUGACCAUGCUGGCACACUGAUCUUGGACUUCCAACCUUGAGAAUUGCAGAAAGUCCUGGAAAUUGGCUACGUAGGAAGCAGCCCUCAGUUCCAGACUCCAUGUGAAUGAAGCCAGACAGUAAGAGCCCUCAAGUCUUCUCCAUCUGUUCCCCAGAGGCUGCUGAAAGGACCCAGGGAAGAGCUCAUGACUGUGGUUUCAUCCGUGUGGGGCCCACAGGCAUGUUCACAGAGGAUGCGGGUGCCUGGGGCCCAGGUGGGUAUCUCCAGAACAGCUUCCGAAACACUAAGUUCCAUAUCCUGACAUUGAAGGGACUGGCCAGGAACUGAUCCUUCAGCAAGAGGGAAUCCACAUGGCUGGCCCUAGCAAAUCUGUGUCCAAACCGUUUUGUUGAAAAAGAUACACCACUUGGGGUUGGAUGAAAAUGAUUUUCUAGGACCAUCAGAGCUUGAAGAUUUGUCAGUCACUGAGGAGGAUGCUCAUUUCCCACUGGACCACAGCGGGGCAGCUUGUGUGAAGGCAGGUGUAUUGGAGCUCAUCUGAACUGGGUACCACAUUCUAAUUCUUCUUGAUUAGCAUCAGGGCUUCAGACAGGUCACUUCACCAGCAUGUCCUUUAGCUUCCUUGGAUGUAAAAAUGCAUUUCGUGAUAAUGAACCCAGUAGUUCAUCUGUCUUUGCUAUUGCAGGAGGAGACGAUUCUAUUGAUAAGGGACACCUCGGGUGCUCACUUCCACUCUUGCAAAAUGGCCCCAGUAGACCUCACUCUCAUUUCCAAAGAAGAAGAGCAGGCUGAUUCACUGCAUAGGUUCAAAGGGGGUUGGUGACAUUAACCAGUAUUUGAUUGAUUAGUGAAAGAUGAGGGCUGUUAGCAGGACAGCACUCUUCCCUGAGUCUGUGUUGGCCUGGGUGUCUACAGAAUAUUCAGCAUUUAGGCUUAAUCCGUAGGUGUGGUAGUGUGGUUGCAAGGGGCUCCAGAUAGACUCCUAAAGCUAUGAGAAUUUUUGCUCCUCUGGGACCCACAGAGACACUUCCACAGAGGCCAGAGGCUCCACUCAACAUCCAUCCCCUAGGUCUGAGGGACACAUGGUUACAGGAUACCUCACGCCCCAGACAAAUCUGUGUUUCCUCUCCAAAAUAAUAAAGAGGGUUGGAACGAGUUUCACUGAAGACUGAAAGUCUAUUUCUCCUUCCCUUCUAGCCAGGGAGGUUAGGAG